rnacentral:rRNA from 1 species
UAAGCAUAUCAAUAAGCGGAGGAAAAGAAACCAACAGGGAUUGCCCCAGUAACGGCGAGUGAAGCGGCAACAGCUCAAAUUUGAAAUCUGGCCCCCAGGGCCCGAGUUGUAAUUUGCAGAGGAUGCUUUUGGCGCAGCGCCUUCCGAGUUCCCUGGAACGGGACGCCAUAGAGGGUGAGAGCCCCGUCUGGUCGGACGCUAAGCCAGUGUAAAGCUCCUUCGACGAGUCGAGUAGUUUGGGAAUGCUGCUCUAAAUGGGAGGUAUAUGUCUUCUAAAGCUAAAUACCGGCCAGAGACCGAUAGCGCACAAGUAGAGUGAUCGAAAGAUGAAAAGCACUUUGAAAAGAGGGUUAAACAGUACGUGAAAUUGUUGAAAGGGAAGCGUUCGUGACCAGACUUGGGCCCGGCGAAUCAUCCAGCGUUCUCGCUGGUGCACUUUGUCGGGCUCAGGCCAGCAUCAGUUCGCUACGGGGGACAAAAGUUUCGGGAACGUGGCUCCCUCGGGAGUGUUAUAGCCCGUUGCAUAAUGCCCUGUAGCGGACUGAGGUUCGCGCUCCGCAAGGAUGCUGGCGUAAUGGUCAUCAGCGACCCGUCUUGAAACACGGACCAAGGAGUCGUCUUCGUAUGCGAGUGUUCGGGUGUCAAACCCCUACGCGUAAUGAAAGUGAACGCAGGUGAGAGCUUCGGCGCAUCAUCGACCGAUCCUGAUGUUCUCGGAUGGAUUUGAGUAAGAGCAUACGGGGCCGGACCCGAAAGAAGGUGAACUAUGCCUGUAUAGGGUGAAGCCAGAGGAAACUCUGGUGGAGGCUCGCAGCGGUUCUGACGUGCAAAUCGAUCGUCAAAUAUGGGCAUGGGGGCGAAAGACUAAUCGAACCUUCUAGUAGCUGGUUUCCGCCGAAGU